UCAUCUCCGCCUUUCUCUUCCAAAUCCAUCGAUCUCUCACGCCUCCAUCUCACCGACCGCCGUAGAACAUUGCUAUACUCCGGUCGCCCAUAUUCUCCACGUUGCUCAUCGAUCGCCGCAGAUCGUUGCUAUACGCCAGCCGCCCGUUCUCCACAUUGCUCUAUACUGGCUGCUUCUCCUCUCCACGUUGCUCUAUCUAAACUGCCCCUCUCCAAACGCUAAACUCGCCACCACACAAACGCUAAAAACGCCGAUCGCCGCCACAUUUCGCUGGGAAGAAAAUGAAGUGGUGAUUCGAACUUGGGUUCCACGUCAAUUUAUGUCCAAAGUCAAUUUCUAUCAAUGGAACAAGUCUGAAGAAUAAGUAUGAUGGUACUCUUUUAUCUACUUCAAAACCGAUGCAAAUGAUCAAAAGCAUGGCGUGCAUGUGAGGUUGCGUUGGAUGAGAUUCGAGGAUCUCUAGAAGACUCCUAUAAGAUGAUACCUAAACUUGCUUAGAUAUUGGAACUCAACAACCCAGGUUCUGUUGUUGAAUACAAAGUUAAUGCCGAUGGUAGAUUUAUAUACUUCUUCAUGGCAUUAUCUACUUUCAUUUUUUGUUGGCAACAUUGUCGCCCAGUCAAUUUCUAUCAAUGGAACAAGUCUGAAGAAUAAGUAUGAUGGUACUCUUUUAUCUACUUCAACACCGAUGCAAAUGAUCAAAUAUUUCCACUAGCCUUUUAUGUUGUUGAUUUUGAGAAUGAUUCCUCUUGAACCUGGUUUUGCAAUAAAUUGAAGAGAAUUAUAGGUGGACAUAAUGAGGUUGUCAUAGUAUCUGAUAGGCAUAAAAGUAUAUGCAAAGUCAUAGAGGUAGUAUUUCCCAACGUUGUAUAUUGCAUGUGUCGUGUUCAUUUACUUAUGAACCUAAAGUUGAAGUACAAGAGAAUAGUUAAUAUCGUAUUUCAUGCAUGUGAGAAUGCUUUUAAUAUUGUAGACUUAAAACACGAAAUGCGAUUGUUGGAAUCUUCUGCCCCUGGUAUAUGUGAGGAGCUUGAAUCCAUUGGUUUUCUAAGUGGCCUCAUGUGUAGUCACCAUGUAGAAGAUAUAAUGUCAUGACCACUAAUAUAUCUAAAAGUUUGAAUUCUGUCAUGCUCAAGGCUAGGGAGUUACCAAUAUGUUCCAUGCUUGAGGUUUUGCAAAUGGUGUUACAAAUAUGAUUUUUCAAACGAAGAAAUGAAGCUGAUUAUCAAGUUACAGAUUUUAUAAAAACAAUUGAAGGUAUAUUAAGGGAACAGAUUGAACGUAAUCAAUCAAUGAAGGUUAAUCUGGUUAACAACAUCAAAUACCAGGUCAUAGAUGGAACCUCGCAAUAUGUGGUUUACUUACCUACGAAGGUUUGUAGUUGCAGGAUGUGGUAUAUAUUGGAAAUACCUUGUGUGCAUGCAUGUGCUGUUUUCACCAUGAACCGUUUGUCAAUUAAAUCAUAUGUCUCAGCUCUUUACUUGAACAACACUUUAAGUUUAAUAUAUAGAGGAGUAAUAAAUCCAUUAUACGAUCAUCGAUAAUGGCAAAUACCUGAUGAUGUUAUGUCCAUUGUCAUCCUCUCACCGAGUGUAAAACGUGCAGUUGGUUAAUUGAAGAAAAUUAGAAUUUCUUCAAAAAUAAAGUUCAAGAGACGCGUUAAAUGUGGCCGUUGUAGAUGUGUUGAUCAUAAUCGGAAAAGAUGCAAGUUUUCCUUAGAUGAUUCGUUAUUUAUUAUGUUUUUUACUUUUAAUUUAAAUUUUUAUAUUGUAAUGUUGUUAAAAUUUAAAUUUCAACUCUAAAGUUAUCUUCAAAUUCCAUGAAA